rnacentral:rRNA from 1 species
GAAUAUUGCGCAAUGGGGGCAACCCUGACGCAGCCAUGCCGCGUGUGUGAAGAAGGCCUUCGGGUUGUAAAGCACUUUAAGUGGGGAAGAAAAGCUGUAGCCUAAUAAGCUGCAGCCGUGACAUUACCCACAGAGUAAGCACCGGCUAACUCCGUUCCAGCAGCCGCGGUAAUACGGAGGGUGCGAGCGUUAAGCGGAAUUACUGGGCGUAAAGCGCGCGUAGGCGGUUUGUUAAGUCAGCUGUGAAAGCCCCGGGCUCAACCUGGGAACUGCAGUUGAUACUGGCCGACUGGAGUGCGAGAGAGGGAGGUAGAAUUCCAUGUGUAGCGGUGAAAUGCGUAGAUAUAUGGAGGAAUACCGGUGGCGAAGGCGGCCUCCUGGCUCGACACUGACGCUGAGGUGCGAAAGCGUGGGGAUCAAACAGG